rnacentral:rRNA from 1 species
AUUAGAGUUUGAUCAUGGCUCAGGAUGAACGCUGGCGGCGUGCUUAACACAUGCAAGUCGAACGAACCUUCGGGUUAGUGGCGGACGGGUGAGUAACGCGUGAGAAUCUGCCCUCAGGAGGGGGACAACAGUUGGAAACGACUGCUAAUACCCCAUAUGCCGCGAGGUGAAAUGAAUUUCGCCUGAGGAUGAGCUCGCGUCUGAUUAGCUAGUUGGUGUAGGUAAUGGCUCACCAAGGCAUCGAUCAGUAGCUGGUCUGAGAGGAUGAUCAGCCACACUGGGACUGAGACACGGCCCAGACUCCUACGGGAGGCAGCAGUGGGGAAUUUUCCGCAAUGGGCGAAAGCCUGACGGAGCAACGCCGCGUGAGGGAUGAAGGCCUCUGGGCUGUAAACCUCUUUUAUCAAGGAAGAAGAUCUGACGGUACUUGAUGAAUAAGCCACGGCUAAUUCCGCGCCAGCAGCCGCGGUAAUACGGGAGUGGCAAGCGUUAUCCGGAAUUAUUGGGCGUAAAGCGUCCGCAGGCGGCCCAUCAAGUCUGCUGUUAAAAAGUGGA